CCCAAGAUGGCGGCGUCCAGUCCUCGGAGUCGCGGCUGCUGGUGCGACAGAGAAUCGCCGUGGGAGCUGCUCUGUGACCCAGAACUCUGUGGAUUUCCGCAGAUGGUGGAAUUGCCUCUCUGUCCAUGUGCUGAGCUCCAGCUGCAGGGACUGUCAGACAUUGUUGGCUAUGGUGGACUUGCCUCUCUGUCCGUGUGCUGAGCUCAGGCUGCAGGGACUGUCAGGCUGUGAGUUCAUGCUGUUCCCCCCUGGAGAGGGGCAGGAGAAAGGCCCUGUGGGCAAAGGGAGCUCCCUGUGUCCCCAGGGCCCUGCAGGGGACAGGAUGGACACUCUGGGGUCACACCUGUGUUAGUAUUUAGGGGCCAGCAUGAAGAUUUUUGGGGUAAAAAUGAGGGAAUCAGCAGUGGAGGGGUGGGAAAAAUAUUGGCCCUAAAUCUUGAGGUGGUCUGGAGAGGCCAGGAAAUAUUUGGGAGGGAAAUCUGUUGUUCCCUUGUGCUGUGCUC